AUGAUUUCGAGGUCUCCCAGCCUCUUCCAGAUCGGCGAGGGUGAGGCCCAGGAUCAGGAUCAGGCGGGGACGCCAACAAUGGCGACCGCCGGCGAGCUCGUCGGGCUCCGGCUGAUCAUACAGCCCUCACCGGGGCGACAACAACGGCCGGCGCUGGCCGUCCUCAGGAGGUCGUCGGUGAGGUCCCCGGCAGCCGACCUCCAGGAGAACAGCGGCUGCCGGCCGUUCGUGGGCCUCGAGUUCUUGAAGUGCUGCCUCUGCUGCUGCAAGAAGAUCGACGGCGACAUGGACGUCUUCGUGUACAAGGGAGAGCAAGCCUUCUGCAGCGACGAGUGCCGGUGUCAGCAGAUAGCGAGGGAGGAGAGGCGGGAGAUCGAGAUCCUGGUCAGGAAGCGCCGUGAAGCGUUCCACAGCCGCCGUGCAGCGCCGGGCAAGACGAUCGGAGGACCGGACCGGCACGCGAGGGUGCAAAUCUCAAGUUUUUGCUAG
rnacentral:rRNA from 1 species